CUCUCCUAGAUGAAAGGUCUGUUUACAAGUAGUGAAUGGUUGAAAAAUAAAAAAAUGAAGUUACAGCUACUAAAAGGGACUGACUAAUAUUGUGAUAGUGGAGAAAGAGCAAAAAACCCAGGCACCUGGGAAAGGAACACCUUAGACACCCCCGAGAGAUGUAGGGGAGGAUUGCUUUAAUUACUUUGUUUUUCAGAACUCCGUCUGAAAUCUUUCUCCAGAAGGAAAAUGCUUUGAUACUUCUCUCUCAAACCCUUGUGAGUACUUUGCAUUUAACCCACUGUUAUGCAUGCCAGUAGCAAGCUAACUUGUGUACAUCUCAGACCCUUCACAGUUUCAGACUCAGCAAUGUGUAAUUGCUGUCCAAUUACUGUAAAAUUAGCCCAGAGAUGCUGGAGAAAAGUUAGAACUAAGGUAAUUGUGGUGGAUUGAAUUAUGUACCCCAAUUUAGACAUGCUCUUAAUCUUAAUUCUCAUUCCUGAGGUCGCAAACCCAUUGUAAAUAGAUCUCUUGACAAUGUUAUUUUCAGUUAAGUUGUGGCCCAGCUGAAUGAGGUUGGGUCUUAAUUCGUAUCACCGCAUGCCUUUGUAAGCAGAAGGAAUUAAGGCACAGUGAGAGAAAACCACCGGGAGGAGUCAGAAGCCAGAAGUUAAACAUGGAAGAAAAACUUGGACAUCGCCAACAAAACCCACGGAUUGCCAGCAGCAAACAGCUGAAUGUUACAGACUUUGGGAAGAUAGUGUCACCUUCCUGACACCUCAACUUUGGGCUUCUCCUACCUUCAAAACCCUUCCUGUUCAGGCUGAGUGGGAUCCCAAGGCAGGGGCAUCACAGGAGUAACAAGUAGAGACAUCCUGAGGAAAAAACUAGGCAUCAAGCAUGAGGGAGCAGCAGAGAUGCUACUCAGUGAAGAGGAAGAGCUUUCCAUGAAAAACAAUGAAUUCUUAAAUUCUCUGCCACAAAAAUGGUGAAGUGCAAGAGGAUUUUCACAUGUUAAGUAAAACAUCUGUGUUCAGUUUAUUACUCCAGAGCUAAAGUAAAAUAUUACUGUGGAAAUUUAAAUGAUAAUAAAA